rnacentral:tRNA from 1 species
GCCUUGCUAGUAAAAUGGUAGAUCCAUGAGAUUCAAAAUCUCAUACUAAAUGGCGUGGAGGUUCAAAUCCUCUUGAAAGUA